AUUCCGAGAGCUCAACUUAUGGUC
rnacentral:siRNA from 1 species